rnacentral:ncRNA from 1 species
AAUGCGCGCCUUGUUCGCGGUGCCUGGGGGCCAGAUUCGGCCUCAGGUGAAACGGGAAGCAGGUGUAAAUCCUGCGCUGCCCCCGCAACGGUAAGGAAGUGCGGAAUCGUCACACACGCCACUGGGCCUCGGUCUGGGAAGGCGACGAUUCAAGACUUCCGAGCCCGGAGACCGGCCACGAACAUCACCAUGGAA